rnacentral:rRNA from 1 species
ACACCGGCAGCUCAAGCGGUAGCCGCUUUUAUUGGGCCUAAAGCGUCCGUAGCCGGUCUGAUAAGUCUCUGGUGAAAUCCCACAGCUUAACUGUGGGAAUUGCUGGAGAUACUAUCAUGACUCGAGGUCGGGAGAGGCUGGAGGUACUCCCAGGGUAGGGGUGAAAUCCUGUAAUCCUGGGAGGACCACCUGUGGCGAAGGCGUCCAGCUGGAACGAACCUGACGGUGAGGGACGAAAGCCAGGGGCGCGAACCGGAUUAGAUACCCGGGUAGUCCUGGCCGUAAACGAUGUGGACUUGGUGUUGGGAUGGCUUCGAGCUGCCCCAGUGCCGAAGGGAAGCUGUUAAGUCCACCGCCUGGGAAGUACGGCCGCAAGGCUGAAACUUAAAGGAAUUGACGGGG